rnacentral:rRNA from 1 species
CCCGCUACAGGGGCGGCCGAUGGCAGAUUAGCUAGUUGGUGGGGUAAAGGCCUACCAAGGGCGACGAUCUGUAGCUGGUCUGAGAGGACGACCAGCCACACUGGGACUGAGACACGGCCCAGACUCCUACGGAGGCAGCAGUGGGGAAUUUUGGACAAUGGGCGCAAGCCUGAUCCAGCAAUGCCGCGUGUGUGAAGAAGGCCUUCGGGUUGUAAAGCACUUUUGUCCGGAAAGAAAACCUCCGCCCUAAUAUGGUGGGGGGAUGACGGUACCGGAAGAAUAAGCACCGGCUAACUACGUGCCAGCAGCCGCGGUAAUACGUAGGGUGCAAGCGUUAAUCGGAAUUACUGGGCGUAAAGCGUGCGCAGGCGGUCCGCUAAGACAGAUGUGAAAUCCCCGGGCUUAACCUGGGAACUGCAUUUGUGACUGGCGGGCUAGAGUAUGGCAGAGGGGGGUAGAAUUCCACGUGUAGCAGUGAAAUGCGUAGAGAUGUGGAGGAAUACCGAUGGCGAAGGCAGCCCCCUGGGCCAAUACUGACGCUCAUGCACGAAAGCGUGGGGAGCAAACAGGAUUAGAUACCCUGGUAGUCCACGCCCUAAACGAUGUCAACUAGUUGUCGGGUCUUCAUUGACUUGGUAACGUAGCUAACGCGUGAAGUUGACCGCCUGGGGAGUACGGUCGCAAGAUUAAAACUCAAAGGAAUUGACGGGGACCCGCACAAGCGGUGGAUGAUGUGGAUUAAUUCGAUGCAACGCGAAAAACCUUACCUACCCUUGACAUGUAUGGA